UAAUAAUAGCGACCUGCCCCAUCCUUUAGCUAUUGUUGUUUUCCCCCUUUUAAAAUACUAACAAUGCAGUACUAUAUGAGUCUCCUCAAAAUUGUCAAGCAGCAACCACCCAAACUGCAUCCUCUGUACCAAAAGCCAUCUAAGGAAGCCCAGCAGAUGGUCUAGCUGCUGUGAAACAAAGAGUUGCUUUCAUUCUUAAAUUUGUUUCCUCAGCUCUUUUCAUUUGGUAACUCUGUAAUAGAACAUUUGACCUUUGCAAAGAUCAAAAUGUAAAUAAUGUUCUUUUCAUGUUGUUCUUUAGCAACCAUUUAAAAAGUCAAAUAACAUUAAAGUCCUUUUUUACUUUUAAAA